AUUGAACGCUGGCGGCAGGCCUAGCACAUGCAAGUCGAGCGGAUGAGUGGAGCUUGCUCCAUGAUUCAGCGGCGGACGGGUGAGUAAUGCCUAGGAAUCUGCCUGGUAGUGGGGGACAACGUUUCGAAAGGAACGCUAAUACCGCAUACGUCCUACGGGAGAAAGUGGGGGAUCUUCGGACCUCACGCUAUCAGAUGAGCCUAGGUCGGAUUAGCUAGUUGGUGAGGUAAAGGCUCACCAAGGCGACGAUCCGUAACUGGUCUGAGAGGAUGAUCAGUCACACUGGAACUGAGACACGGUCCAGACUCCUACGGGAGGCAGCAGUGGGGAAUAUUGGACAAUGGGCGAAAGCCUGAUCCAGCCAUGCCGCGUGUGUGAAGAAGGUCUUCGGAUUGUAAAGCACUUUAAGUUGGGAGGAAGGGCAGUAAGUUAAUACCUUGCUGUUUUGACGUUACCGACAGAAUAAGCACCGGCUAACUUCGUGCCAGCCGCCGCUGUAAUAC
rnacentral:rRNA from 1 species